rnacentral:rRNA from 1 species
GGAUGAACGCUGGCGGUCUGCUUAACACAUGCAAGUCGAAACGAACUCUUCGGAGUGUAGGUGGCGGACGGGGUGAGUAACGCGUGAGGAAUCUGCCUGUGGGUACGGGGACAACCACUGGAAACGGUGGGCUAAUACCGGAUAGAGCCGAAAGGUAAAAGAUUUAUUGCCCACAGAUGAAGCGUCGCGUCUGAUUAGCUAGUUGGUAAGUAAAGCGUACCAAGGCGACGAUCAGUAGCUGGUCUGAGAGGAUGAGCAGCCACACUGGGACUGAGACACGGCCCAGACUCCUACGGGAGCAGCAGUGGGAAUUUUCCGCAAUGGGCGAAAAGCCUGACGGAGCGAAGACCGCGUGGGGGAGGAAGGUUUUUUGGGAUCGUAAAACCCUUUGUCAAGGAAGAAGCUCUGAC